CAUUACACAGCCCUGGCAACGAUCAUGACACCCGUCCCAGAGCUUGAAAACCCUGGCAACCAGCAUGACACCCAGUGCGUGAAACCCUUGGCAAUGAGCAGAGCUAGAAAAUUUGGAGCAGGCAAUGUACAUUCGGUUCCAGCUCUUAUUUGAUUUUAUUGGAAAAGAUUCUUUGUGGUGUUAAAGUCCCUCACCUCUUCCACUGAAAGCGAUGGAGUCCUACUGGCCACCGGUCAGAAGCGAAGUGGAGGAACCAGAGGACGGCAGGUCCAGGCUGGGGGAGAUCUGCAGACCGUAAAGUUUGAGAUGACAUGUGCAAUGACCAGACCAGAGGUUCUAAAUACUGAUAAGAGGGAGAUGGCCGGAUCAAUUACCUGAUGGAAAGUAAAAGAAGUCCACAUGUGUAUAUAACUAAGCCAAAACUUCCUGGCUAGUCAUAAAGCUGUCCAGGGGUGACAAGGUGCAGUUCCUCCCAGACCUCACUCUCUAUGAAGGAGAUUUCAAUGCCUUUGGGCUACACCCUCUCCCCUUCUCCUGUGCUUCUUUCUAUCAUCAACAAAAUGUAAACCUGGUGUAGGUAUAGUGUCCAGCAGGGAAUUAGUUAAAAAUACCAAGGGAGGGAGCCUGAUGAAGCUGGAGACUAUGUCUGUCCCUCUCAUGAAAAUAGAAGGUGUGAUCUGUUGGGGAAACAGUACAUGCUGGAGAUCACCUGAGUAAUCCUGUGAAAUCCCCCACAGCAGAAAUACUUAAAACUUGUUUGCGUAAGUGAAUAGGGUUUCUGUAAGCUUUUAUUUCCUUUUCAUUUAUUAAGAUUGCUAUAUUCUGUGUGUUUUUAAAAUAUUCUUAAUAAUCUUUGUAACCUUUUUAACUAA